ensembl:snRNA U6 U6 spliceosomal RNA
GUGCUUGCUUUGGCAGUGCAUAGACUAAAACUGGAAUGAUACAGAGAAGAUUAGCAUGGCCCCUGUAGAAGGAUGACAUGCAAAUUUGUGGAGUAUUCCACAUUUUU